CUUGGUGGCACUGGUGGGCUGUAUCCAGGCCAGGUGUCAGGAGGGUAUGGAGCUGCUAAGGCUGCCAAAUAUGGAGUACCAGGAGGUGUACCUGGGGGAGUACCAGGAGGUGUACCUGGGGGAGUGCCAGGAGGUGUACCUGGGGGAGUACCAGGAGGUGCACCGAUUGGAAGAAUUCCAGCGGUUGGUGGAUAUUCACCAGCAGCAAAAGCUGCUAAAUAUGGCACAGGAGGGCAACUAGGCACAGGAGGGCAACUAGGAACAGGACAACUAGGAACAGGGCAACUUGGAACAGGAGGGCAACUAGGAACAGGACAACUAGGAACAGGGCAACUUGGAACAGGAGGGCAACUAGGCACAGGAGGAGGAUAUUAUCCUGCAAGCAAAGCUGCCAA